GACGAACGCUGGCGGCGUGCUUAACACAUGCAAGUCGAACGCGCCUGUCCUCUGGGUUUCUGGGGGGUGGGUGAGUGGCGAACGGGUGAGUAACACGUGAGUAACCUGCCCCCUUCUUCGGGAUAACGGUCUGAAAGGGCUGCUAAUACCGGGUAUUCACUGGUCUCCGCAUGGGGUCUGGUGGAAAGGUUUUUUUCUGGUGGGGGAUGAGCUCGCGGCCUAUCAGCUUGUUGGUGGGGUGAUGGCCCACCAAGGCUUUGACGGGUAGCCGGCCUGAGAGGGUGACCGGUCACAUUGGGACUGAGAUACGGCCCAGACUCCUACGGGAGGCAGCAGUGGGGAAGAUUGCACAAUGGGCGCAAGCCUGAUGCAGCGACGCCGCGUGAGGGAUGGAGGCCUUCGGGUUGUGAACCUCUUUCGCCCGUGGUCAAGCCGCGACGUGGGUCGUGGUGAGGGUAGUGGGUAAAGAAGCGCCGGCUAACUACGUG
rnacentral:rRNA from 1 species